rnacentral:lncRNA from 1 species
CAAUUACCCUCAUUCCAAUCAUUGGAAUUCUUCACACAGAACUACCAUUCACAUUACGGUGUUUCACACAAACACAAACUCAUUCUCUCUGCUGAACUACAAUCAGAUUUUAGCAUUCAAUCUUUCUUCUUCUCAAAUAAUACUAAUCACAUUUCCAUUCCAUAAUUCACUUCACAAUAUUCAGAAACUCUCAAUCCUCUUAUUCAAAGAAAAUAACAAACAAAACAAAAGAGGUAGCACCAAGCUUACCCUGGCUCAAACUAUCACAGCGAUGGCCCUCAGCUCAUGACUAUCAAAGUCUGGCUUCUUAAUUAACUUCUACAACUCCUAUAUACUUUCUCUUGAUUCUCCAAAUUCUAAUCGUAAUUCUGUAAUUAAUCACUUUUAAGAACUAAAACACUCAUCCGUCUUCCUGAAUUUCCUAUUAUAUAGACUAUUAAUAUAUUUUACCAGUAUCUUUCAAAACGAAUUAAUAUCUAUUCUACAUAGCUCCACUCCUAUCUGUAUAGCGUCCUCGUAAACACUCAAUUGAUACCUAUUUAAAAACUACUUAACAAAUCUCUACAAAGUUACUAGUUCCUCUUACCUAUCUAAUUAAUCAAUUGCCACAGUAUCUAUUAUUGGUUCCAUCGAUUUAGAUUUUAACUGCAAAUCUUCGUGCUCUUUCAAUCCUUCCAUUGGCUCCUACCUCAACUGAGCUCAAAGAUCUUCAUUGAAUUUGCCCAGUUCACGGACUU